rnacentral:rRNA from 1 species
CCUACGGGGGGCUGCAGUGGGGAAUAUUGCACAAUGGGGGAAAGCCUGAUGCAGCGACGCCGCGUGAAGGAAGAAGUAUUUCGGUAUGUAAACUUCUAUCAGCAGGGAAGAAAAUGACGGUACCUGACUAAGAAGCACCGGCUAAAUACGUGCCAGCAGCCGCGGUAAUACGUAUGGUGCAAGCGUUAUCCGGAUUUACUGGGUGUAAAGGGAGCGCAGGCGGCGCGUUAAGCCUGGUGUGAAAGCCCGCGGCCCAACCGCGGGACUGCAUUGGGAACUGGCGCGCUGGAGUGCCGGAGGGGUAGGCGGAAUUCCUAGUGUAGCGGUGAAAUGCGUAGAUAUUAGGAGGAACACCAGUGGCGAAGGCGGCCUACUGGACGGUGACUGACGCUGAGGCUCGAAAGCGUGGGGAGCAAACAGGAUUAGAUACCCCAGUAGUC